GGUUUGCGGUUCCUUCUUCGACACAACACAGUUCUUCGUGUUCUUUUUUUUUUUUUUUUUUUUUUUUUACAAAACCGUAUGUAUGAUAGUGAUAGUGAUAGUGAUAGAGACGGUUUGGUUUCAAAAAAUAACUGAUGUGAUGUGGAUUUUAAAUAACUGAUGUGGCUUUGAUCUUUAAAAUUAGUUUCAGAAAAUAAAAC
rnacentral:lncRNA from 1 species